rnacentral:rRNA from 1 species
UACGGAGGGGGCUAGCGUUGUUCGGAAUUACUGGGCGUAAAGCGCACGUAGGCGGCUUUGCAAGUCAGAGGUGAAAGCCCGGGGCUCAACCCCGGAAUUGCCUUUGAGACUGCACCGCUAGAAUUGUGGAGAGGUAAGUGGAAUUCCGAGUGUAGAGGUGAAAUUCGUAGAUAUUCGGAAGAACACCAGUGGCGAAGGCGACUUACUGGACACAUAUUGACGCUGAGGUGCGAAAGCGUGGGGAGCAAACAGG